UACAGAGGUCUCAAGCGUUGUUCGGAUUCAGUUGGGCGUAAAGAGCGUCGUAGGCGGUCCGAUAAAUGUCGGCUGUGAAAGUCAGGGCUCAACCCUUGAAGCCGGCCAUACUGUCGGAUAGAGUCCGGAAGAGGCGAGUGGAAUUCCCGGUGUAGCGGUGAAAUGCGCAGAUAUCGGGAGGAACACCAAUGGCGAAGGCAGCUCGCUGGGAUGGUACUGAACGCUGAG
rnacentral:rRNA from 1 species